rnacentral:rRNA from 1 species
GACGAACGCUGGCGGCGUGCUUAGCACAUGCAAGUCGAACGGAAAGGCCCUGCUUUUGUGGGGUGCUCGAGUGGCGAACGGGUGAGUAACACGUGAGUAACCUGCCCUUGACUUUGGGAUAACUUCAGGAAACUGGGGCUAAUACCGGAUAGGAGCUCCUGCUGCAUGGUGGGGGUUGGAAAGUUUCGGCGGUUGGGGAUGGACUCGCGGCUUAUCAGCUUGUUGGUGGGGUAGUGGCUUACCAAGGCUUUGACGGGUAGCCGGCCUGAGAGGGUGACCGGCCACAUGGGAUGGGAGAGCGGCCCGAGCGUCAGACGGGGGGGAACGGGGGAGAAUAUUAAAGAGUGGGGGGGGGCCUGAAGCAGAAGCGCCGGGGGGGGAAUGGCGUCUUUCGGUUGGAAAACCGUUUUCGCUUGUGAGAAAGGGGGAGGGCGGGUAGGGGGUAAAAAAGCCCGGGCUAACUACGUG